rnacentral:rRNA from 1 species
UACAGAGGUGGCAAGCGUUGUUCGGAAUUACUGGGCGUAAAGGGCGCGUAGGCGGCCUUCUAAGUCGGACGUGAAAUCCCCAGGCUUAACUUGGGAACUGCGUCUGAUACUGGGAGGCUUGAGUGCGGGAGAGGGAUGUGGAAUUCCAGGUGUAGCGGUGAAAUGCGUAGAUAUCUGGAGGAACACCGGUGGCGAAGGCGGCAUCCUGGACCGACACUGACGCUGGGGCGCGAAAGCCAGGGGAGCAAACGGG